UACGUAGGCAGCAAGCGUUGUUCGGAAUUACUGGGCGUAAAGAGUGUGUAGGCGGUGCUCCAAGUCUGGUGUGAAAUCUCCCGGCUUAACUGGGAGGGCUGCAUUAGAAACUGGAAUGCUAGAGGAUGGGAGAGGUAAGCGGAAUUCCUGGUGUAGCGGUGAAAUGCGUAGAUAUCAGGAGGAACACCUGUGGUGUAGACAGCUUACUGGACCAUUUCUGACGCUGAGACACGAAAGCGUGGGUAGCAAACAGG
rnacentral:rRNA from 1 species